GCUAGAAACUGAUGGAAACGGUGGGAAAAAACACACAAACUCGACUGAAACAAGACCUAACCAGUAACAAGACCUCAACCACGACACAAACUCAACACUACGGACAAAGGCUAUGGCGCGGAUGGGUUGUAGGACAUGAAAACAAUAUGCCACUAGACUUAUGGGAUGAACACAAGGACACUCGAAACUAAGGGUAGAUGUGAACCUAACGGUAUGUGUCAUGCUUUGAUUACCACUUGAGGAGAACAAGUGUGGCCCGAUCUUCCGAAAGGUUCUGGUAACUAUCGAUUUGGUGGAAUCGAGACACAAAUCAAUCCAGCUUGCGAACAACACGAUUCGAAACCCAACAAUUCUUUUUUAUUUUUUUUAUAUUUUUCUUUCACUUAGGAGCACUCAAGAAGUAACCAUAGGAAAUUUGAGCUUAAACAAGUGAAAGACGUGGCCUGUGGAAAUUUUUGGAAAUUGUGAAAAAUAUGAAAAAAACUUUUGGAGGUGAAAACUCAAACUUCAGAGGCGAAUUUGGGGAUUCUAAAAUUGUCAAACCCGUACACGGCGGGGAUAGACAGAUCCAAAAAUUUGGUUUGAUCGAUUUUGAUAUAUGGAACGUCAAAAUCGGAGUUCGUAUGCGGAAAUUAUGGCUGUUUUACGAACGGACUCUGAAUUAGAAGACAAAACGGUCCGGAAGUGGGAAAAAUUUGCGGCGGUGGCUAGAAAUUGAUGGAAACGGUGGGAAGAAGCACACAAAUUGGACUCUAACAAGACCUAACGAGUAACAAGACCUCGACUAGUACACAAACUCAACACUACGGACUGUGAAACUGAAAUAUGCAAAGGCUAUGGCGCGGAUGGGUUGUAGGACAUGAAAACAAUAUGGCACCAGACUUAUGGGACGAACACAAGGACACUCGAAAUUAAGGAUAGAUGUGAACCUAAUGGUAUGUAUAAAGCUUUGAUUACCACUUGAGGAGAAUAAGUGUGGCCCGAUCUUCCGAAAGGUUCUCAUAACUAUCGAUUUGGUGGAAACGAGACACAAAUCAAUCCAGCAUACGAACAACACGGUUUGAAACCCUGCAAUUCUUUUUAUUUAUUUUUUUUGAUAUUUUGCUUUUACUUAGGAGCACUCAAGAAGUAAGCACAGGAAAUUUGAGCUUAAACAAGUGAAAGACGUGGCUUGUGGAAUUUUUUGAAGAUUGCGAAAAAUAUAAAAAAAUUAGGAGGUGAAAACUCAAACUUCAGAGGCGAAUUUGGGGAUUCUAAAAUUACCGAACUAGCCUUUGGCUGAAAUAUGCGAAGGCUAUGGCGCGGAUGGGUUGUAGGACAUGAAAACAAUAUGCCACUAGACUUAUGGGACGAACACAAGGACACUCGAAACUAAGGGUAGAUGUGAACCUAAUGGUAUGUCUCAUGCUUUGAUUACCACUUGAGGAGAACAAGUGUGGCCUGAUCUUCCGAAAGGUUGUGGUAAAUAUCGAUCUGGUGGAAACGAGACACAAAACAAUCCAGCUUGCGGACAACACGAUUAAAAACCCUACAAUUCUUUUUAUUUUUUUAUAUUUUUCUUUUACUUAGGUGCACUCAAGAAGUAACCACAUGAAAUUUGAGCAUAAACAAGUGAAAGACGUGGCAUGUGGAAAUUUUUGAAAAUUACAAAAAAUAUGAAAAAAACUUUUAGAGGUGAAAACUCAAACUUCAGAGGCAAAUUUGGGGAUUCUAAAAUUGUCAAACCCGCACACGGCGAGGAUAGACUGAUCCAAAAAUUUGGUUUGAUCGAUUUGGAUAUAUGGAACGUCAAAAUCGGAGUUCGUAUGCAAAAAUUAUGGUUGUUUUACGAACGGACUCCGAAUAAGAAGACAAAACGGUCCGCAAGUGGGAAAAAUUUGCGGCGGUGGCUAGAAAUUGAUGAAAACGGUGGGAAAAAACACACAAACUGAACUCAAACAAGACCUAACCAGUAACAAGACCUCGACCAGGACACAAACUCAAAACUACGGACAAAGGCUAUGGCGCGGAUGGGUUGUAGGACAUGAAAACAAUAUGCCACUAGACUUAUGGGAUGAACACAAGGACACUCGAAACUAAGGGUAGAUGUGAACCUAACGGUAUGUCUCAUGCUUUGAUUACCACUUGAGGAGAACAAGUGUGGCCCGAUCUUCCGAAAGGUUCUGGUAACAAUCGAUUUGGUGGAAACGAGACACAAAUCAAUCCAGCUUGCAAACAACAUGAUUCGAAACCCUACAAUUCUUUUUAUUUUUUUAUAUUUUUCUUUUACUUAGGAGCACUCAAGAAGUAACCACAGGAAAUUGGAGCUUAAACAAGUGAAAGACGUGGCCUGUGGAAAUUUUUGAAAAUUGCGAAAAAUUUGAAAAAAACUUUUGGAGGUGAAAACUCAAACUUUAGAGGCGAAUUUGGGGAUUCUAAAAUUGUCAAACCCGCACACAGCGGGGAUAGACUGAUCCAAAAAUUUGGUUUGAUCGAUUUUGAUAUAUGGAACGUCAAAAUCGGAGUUCGUAUGCGAAAAUUAUGGCUGUUUUACGAACGAACUCCGAAUUAGAAUACAAAACGGUCCGCAAGUGGGAAAAAUUUGCGGCGGUGGCUAGAAAUUAAUGGAAACGGUGGGAAAAAACACACAAACUCGACUGAAACAAGACCUAACCAGUAACAAGACCUCGACCAGGACACAAACUCAACACUACGGACAAAGGCUAUGGCGCGGAUGGGUUGUAGGACAUGAAAACAAUAUGCCACUAGACUUAUGGGAUGAACACAAGGACACUCGAAACUAAGGGUAGAUGUGAACCUAACGGUAUGUGUCAUGCUUUGAUUACCACUUGAGGAGAACAAGUGUGGCCCGAUCUUCCGAAAGGUUCUGGUAACUAUCGAUUUGGUGGAAUCGAGACACAAAUCAAUCCAGCUUGCGAACAACACGAUUCGAAACCCAACAAUUCUUUUUUAUUUUUUUUAUAUUUUUCUUUCACUUAGGAGCACUCAAGAAGUAACCAUAGGAAAUUAGAGCUUAAACAAGUGAAAGACGUGGCCUGUGGAAAUUUUUGGAAAUUGUGAAA
rnacentral:lncRNA from 1 species